rnacentral:rRNA from 1 species
GACAGAGGUGCCGAGCGUUAGGCGGAAUCACUGGGCUUAAAGCGUGUGUAGGCGGAUUCCUAAGUACCUUGUGAAAUCCCAUGGCUCAACCAUGGAACUGCUUGGUAUACUGGGUCUCUUGAGCCAGCUAGGGGCUACCGGAACAAAUGGUGGAGCGGUGAAAUGCGUAGAUAUCAUUUGGAACGCCAAUGGUGAAAACAGGUAGCUGGGGCUGUGCUGACGCUGAGACACGAAAGCCAGGGGAGCGAACGGG